CUUUCCAAGUUUCUUGAACAAAUGCUGUGCAGGCCUAGGCUUUAGCCUAUUCGAACUUGAUUUAAAAUUUAAGUAACAGAGUGCAAGUUAAAUAGGAAACUUUAAAUAAAAGAAACCUGUUCUAAUUAAAUGAAUUUUGUGGAUAAAGAUUUUGAGUUCUAAGUUAAACCACUAGAUAACUUUCAUUUAAUUAAAAUCAGGAUAUGGAAAAGGCAAAAUUUCGAUCGCCAAUUUUCACGUUCUGGACUGUGGGUUCCGGAGCACCUUUCUUGAAGAAGAAAGGGAAGGAGAAG
rnacentral:misc_RNA from 1 species